rnacentral:rRNA from 1 species
UAGUGAACCAGUACCGUGAGGGAAAGGCGAAAAGAACCCCGGCGAGGGGAGUGAAAAAGAACCUGAAACCGUGUACGUACAAGCAGUGGGAGCCCCACCACUAAGCCAGUGGUGAACUCCACAUCCGCAUCCUUUGCUGAGGAUACGGUUAACGGAGCGAAAGCGACGUUCAACCGCAAAACAAGCAGAGGGGGCUUAGUGGUGGGGUGACUGCGUACCUUUUGUAUAAUGGGUCAGCGACUUAUAUUCUGUAGCAAGGUUAACCGUAUAGGGGAGCCGGAGGG